AAAACAAAGGAGAUGAAAAUUUCAUGGAAGAAGACGACAGAGGAGCGCGAGAGGAAGCGACGACGAUCCGAUCGCCCCAUCGUCUUAAACCCUAAUCUCCCCUUCGAAUCAGCGACUGGAGAAGCUGAGAGUGAUCUCGGUGGCCUGGAGCCCUCGCCCGUCGAUCCCCAAUGUUGUGAUCCGGUUCAGCUUGCCGAAGCCUUCCAGGCCGAAGGGAAUCGUCUUGCUGAGGGUGGGAAAUUUUGUGAAGCACUAGGGAAGUGGGAGGUUGCAAUCAGAUUACUGCCAGAUAAGGCAAUAUUACAUGAACAGAAGGCUCAGGUUUUGCUCGAGAUAGGAGAAGCAUGGAACGCACUAAAAGCAGCAACUCGAGCUACAGAGUUGGAACCUUCAUGGGCAGAGGCGUGGAUUACUCUUGGUAGGGCUCAGUUAAAUUAUGGAGAACCUGAUUUAUCCAUUGAGAGUUUUAACAGAGCUCUAGAAAUUAAGCCUGGUAACAAAGAGGCAUUGGCAGAUCGAGAAACCGCAAAACAUCUUGUGCAGAAACGAGAGCAACUGCACUCUUCUGAAUUAAACAGUGUUGCCAAUCGUUGCCAAGUUAGGGAUAAAGCUGAAAAUUCUUAAUUCUGUUGUCUAAUUGUUUGAUUAUUAAUGAGUAUAGGACAGCUGAUGCGAGAAGGAUGAUGUACUUAUUACGAAAUUAAGCUCCUUUUCUCCCACCUAGAGGUGUAAAUGCAGUCAGUUUUCAAAUUAAUUUAUCAGAGGUCGUUCAAGCUUAAAGCAUAAGUUGGGAGGCUUGUGCUGCAUCUCCAUGUUGCUUUCUUGAUGGCUUAAACUAGUUAAACAUGACAUGAUUGGAGUUGAUGGAGUGUUAGGAAUUGAGUCUAUCUUUUUAUUUUCAUCAAAUUUGCCACUCAAUGAACCUUUUGUUUUGUCAUUGAUUGGUGUCUCAAAGAGGUAAUUCAUCAAUUCAGUGGCAAUUUCUUCAGAGUUAACAAGCCACUCCAUAUUGUUCAAGGGGUCAUCAGGUAUUUCUAGACAUGAAGUAUCUUCACUGCUAUAACUCUUCUCUUCAAUGUCAUUGUGAUCAAUAGCUAGAUCAUUAAUAGUUGAAGGUUGAAAUAGAGGUAUUUUCAUAGUGUGGAAUUUUCCUAAGUUAUAAUAUAUAUGGCUAGGAUUAUAUAAUUUGUAGUUUUUUAAUGCUUACAAAGCUUUAGCCAAGUUUCAAAGUGGAGGAUAUAAUUAAAAGGAUUUUUGUAGGGACACAAAUCAGUAGAUAAGAGGAGCUCCCAUUAUAUUGAGACUCAGAAACUACAUGAUAGACUUCACAUUAUUAAUU